rnacentral:lncRNA from 1 species
GGAACUUCUGUUACGAUCUUGUUCUUUGGUUCUGCAAUUUUUUUGCUGAGUUAUGAGGAAUAAAGAAAUGGCUUUCAUGCCAAAAAUGGAUCUAUCCCAAUGAUACGUGAUAAUGUUGUAUUUAUAGCACUUAAAAUUAUAUUUUGAAAUUUAAAUGAAACUCACCUGAAAUGCAUUGGUUAGUUACAAAUGAAAAAAUCAGUUAGAAAAUGAAACUGUUAGUUUUGAAAUGAAGAGGGA